AUCGAUGAGUUUGCAAAAAACUCAUAGUUUGCAUGCAAUUAGGUUUAUGAUCCGUUUUUGCUUUGUGCGUCCCUGACAUGAAUUCCUAGUUACUUCCUAGUAGCCACAACACAGCACCACCAGAAUAACUAUGUGAGGUAGUGAUGUAGCUGGUGAAUUGGGUGAACGACAGCGAGCCGAGGGCACAAGCCCACAUAUUCAGAGAGAGGAGGACUCAACCUGCUUCAGAGGAUGAAGGCUGCUAAAAAUAAGCUAGAGGAACAGAUAUCACAGAGAGAGAGGGGGGGAGAGGAACUGCCAUCAGCAGACUGGGUUUGGUUUCUGCCCCUUGCUGAUUUAAACCAGAAAGCUCCCACAUCUCCAGUGCUGCCCCUACUGCCCCUUCUGCCCUGUCUAUGAGCCCAAACCCCCUGUGAGAUGCUGUGCCCCUGUGCGCAGGCUGUCAGGCCAACACACCAGCUCGCUACUAAGAGGCAUUAUGCUAAUGGGAGCGUCUCCUUCCCUCUCUCCCUUUCUCUGCAGCCCUUCAACGCUCAGUGGAUCGGCUUGCCUAAGGGCCCUGCUGCUUGUUUUGACAGAGCAUCCCCUGAUAGUUGGGAUUAGUCCAGCUUGUUUGGCUAAAGUAGGAGAAGGGGAUCUUAGGCUACUUUUAGUUUUUGGAGCUCCGCUGGAGCCAGAUGCCUCCUGCUUUUAUCCCCACCAGGAGAGGGCCUGCUUCCCCCAAGGCCUGCCUACAGCCAUAGGCAGCCAUAACAAUCCUGGCAGAAGGAUAAAACUCCUGCUGCUUCCCAGGAAACCCACUAAGAGAUUACAUGAGGAAGUACUGUUUUAUGGCUACAUUCCUGCUCUACAUUAAUGGAGGCGUCGGGCUGCUAUUCCUCUGAGAGAGGUUUGAACCUAUCUAUUAAAGUGGCUGACCUGUGGUCGGUGGUUCAAACAGCCGGUAUGCACAUUAACGUCACUUACCCGCCGUAAGCGUCUGAAGAGGUAGGAAAAGGGAAUAAAUAAGGCGGCGGGGUGAUCUCCCUUUCAGCAGCCGUCCCCAACAGGAAGCCAAUGCUAUAUUUUAUUCACUAGUGUCAGGUAGGUUCAGGCACACUCUUGGUCGUCCUCAGACUGGCCUGCUCCUCUAUUUUCAUCAAGGUCAGCUGGGUGAAAAAUAGAGCCAUCUGCCAUUAGAUUGACUACAAAACGCUGCUGCUGAAGCAAAAGAAAAAAAAAUCAGGAUUUAAGAGGAGAGAAGAAAGACAGCCACGGAUUUAAAGAUUGUAAAAAGAGAAAGAAAAAAACAAAA